GACAACGACUCCGUACAGGUGCGAGUUGCGAGAAUUGCACUAAAAUUGCAAUUAACAAGGAGACUUUGCGGUUGGAAGUGUACUCAGUGUAUCAGUUGGCUCGUAUGAAUCAUAUCCAGUGUUAGUAUUUCAAUGUUUUUUGCGGUUGAAAGUCAAUACUCGUCUGCAGCAUCCGCGAGGUUAUAGUUUUGCAGUACAAGAUGUUUGGCCGAGCUUUUCACCCAUAAUAGAAGAGUUGGUCUUAAUAUUAUAUGACAUUAGGGCAAAUCUAAAUUACGAUUUCACUACCGAUCCGGAUUAUAACAUUAAAUGAAGAAAAAAUUGGAGAUUAUCUUCUAUUUGAUGUCUUAAGAAUAUGUAUUCUUGAAUAAAUCCGAUCAAUCUGAGGAUCAAAAGCCUGACCUUCAAGGCAGGUGGUGGGACAGAUCCCACUUCGACAGCUAAAGGUGCCAGUCCGUUGGUAUGCCAGAAGACUACUAGGUAUGGAUCGCAAAGAAGACCCUUACGUAUCGCCGAAGCUCUUUGAGUCGAACACAAAUUUAAUGUAUAAUCCGGCAAGUUGUUGUUGUAACGGUUACCCAAAUCUGCCUGAACCGACAAGCCUAGACUAAUUGUCAUCGAAGUUCGAAAUCCGCUUGGCAGUCCAGCAGGAAAUGACUUGGUGUUUUCGCCUCACCUUCCUCCAUACAGUUAUGACAGUUUGCGUUCCCCAGGAUUCCCAGCCUCAUCGCAUUUAUACCUAUUCCGCAGUGUUCUGUGCGUACUCCCACCAUUGAGUAGACUUCAAUUGGUUCGCAAAGAUGUGGUUAAUACCAGGCAGGAACUCUUUGCAAGCAGGGAUUCCAUGACAACCGGUUCUACAGUACUGUAUUAACACAAUUUUUUUCCUGCCAAGGGCUUUCAUUUUGAGAAUCUAACGCCCGAAUUAUUAAGUAGUGACUUUUCCACUACCUUUCUUCGUACCUUAACCUCAGUUUUUAAAUGUUUCAUGAGUUUCAACGAUAUUUACAUAUAACUGUUCAAGGAAUGUCACCUCGACAACAGUUUUCAAUAAAACUUAGAAAGUAUUUAUGCAUCUAAAAACAACACCAACAACAACAAAAUAACUGUAUAAACCCAACUGAGAAAAUUACCAAUUCGAGUGAUGUAAGAACAGCGUGACAUUAGCAAAAAAAAAAACAUGCAAUCUUAACCAGUUCGUUCCGAGCAACACUCAAUAACAUUUCCGAGAAGAAGAAGCAAUCAGCAGCACUGUGGAUAAAAAAAAUCGUAUUGUAAUUUUAUGCAGCGAUUGAAUACAAACGGUAGCAAAGUGUCAUGUCCAUAAACAAAUUUAUAUAUUUAUGUAUGAGUGUCUGUAUGUAAAUAACCUGUGUAUAAAUGUAAAUUUAUGACACAUUUCAAGUUUACAAAUGCUAUUGCAGAAUACUGAUGAAUGUUGCUGACUUUUUAUGCAACAUACUCUUCUUAUGGGUUAACAAAGAAUUGAUUAAAUUUGGAAUGAAGCAAUGAUUUGUGACUCAGCCUAAACAAAUACGCUACAAACUUACUUUGUACAAAUUAAACAAAAGAUUAAAGAAAGAAUACACACGAACGCGGAAAUUAUGGGUCAACUUCGCGCUUUAGCAUAUUUUUAUAUUUUCGAAAGUGCAGUCAAUCAAAUUAGUUGCUCACAACUAGUUUCAACCGCUUAUCAAACAUCUUCACUCUGUAUGGUUAUUUUAAUAAAAUAUAAAUAUGUGUUUUGCCACACUCUUUUUAUAGUUUUAUAACGGUCACGGGAGUGUCAGAAGCAAAUAAAAGUAAAAAAUAUUAAAUAGGAAGUCAACAAGCAUACCGAUCAGCAAUCAGUCAUUCGUAAAAGAAUAAUAAAAACACAUGUAAAUUGGAUUAUAAUGAAUAUAUACGUGAUUGUGAACCUGUAGGAAAUUAUUAAGUUGAAAAAAUAAUGACUGCAGAUUCGCCAUAACCUCAACUAAGUAAUAAAAAAUGUUAUAUGGGAAGGUCUGAUUACAUUUUUAAUGCGUAAAAAUAUGUUUGUGGUUAAUUUUUCAACAAACAAUAAUACUAAGUAAGAAAAAAUUUCAUUUGAGAGAGUCUGAUUAAUUUUUCUUUUUUAACUUUUUUAUAAAAAUAUUAUUGUGAUUUACUUCAUUUUCAUAAUUAUUGUUAUUUUUUUAUUUUAAAACUUAUUUUCUUUAUUACCAGUUCGGCAGCAAUGAGACAACAGACUACUUAGCUUUAUAUACAAAAUAAGAAAUAAUUUCUAAUUGGAAGAAUACAGCACCAGCAUGUGGCAAUAACACCAACUGCGCAGCUAAUAGUUAAUUUCAUUACCUGUUGGGGUUCAGCACCUUAUCAGCGUACCAAAAAUAAAUGCGCACACAGUAUACAUAUAUAUAUAUAAAGAGUACAACACUUUGCUAAAUGCUUACAUGCAUGCAAUCGAAAAUCACAGCUCCCUAUUAAGUGCUAAGUAAUGAACUCCUACAAAGGAAUUAGUGUAAAACAUUAUCUCAUUUUAUACAAUUUCAAUAAUUCAUACAUAGCAAGUGUUAACUCGUGAGUAUCAUACACGCUGUGAAUGGAGAACGCGUGCUACGCGAGAUUUAUUAAAUGAUGAGAAUAUUUUCAGCAGAUAGGCUUUAUUAUAAAAUACAUGCUAAUGAGCAUUGGUAUUUAAAUUCUUUUUAUACAUACAUACAUACGUGAAUAUGUAAAUUUAUAUGCUCUCAAAGUAGUGCUGACCUCUGCGUCAAGUCAUUGUGCCAAAAACAAUUUCGUUUCCGUUUUUAUACAAUACCUUAACGGUGAGUAACCGCAUUGAUUGGAAAACCAAAACACACAAAAACAAGAAGAAAAUAAAAAUAAAAACAAUAUCAUGACAAAGUCUCUAAGUCACAUCUUGUAUUUGACAUCCUACUCGACGCUCUAGGCAGUGGAAUACUUUGCAGCUUUGUGGACACUAAUACGCGUGUGCCCGCACAAAACAUACAUAUCAUUGAACUAACGUAUUGUGUUAUACAUAUGUAUAGCGGUUCACUGAAAUGUAAAUACAACAAACCGAUGAGCACACAAAGUAGGCAUACACAUGCACAUAUGCGACUGAAUAACACAUUGUUGGCACCUAUGUAUGCAAAUACAUACAUACAAACAUAGGUACGUACAAGUAGUAGAUGUGACAGAUUAAAUAGUGCCCAAGUCAUUGCGGUUUAUUGACUUAAAACUGUCUCGUUACACCUCGCUUAUAAACAAGACCAAAGGAGGCGGCAUUCGUGGGACGUACACGACAUAUGCUAAAUAAAACGGGGUGCUGCUGAUUUGUCAACCGGGGAGAUGGUUAAACAAUGUGGCGUCGUAGUGAAUUUGAGUGUUGAUGUGAUUGCAUUUCGUGAUGGAGGGCAUUUGACCGAAUUAUUUAGUGGUUAAAUAAGAAUGCUAAACCAUAGCAAAAAAUAGUGAGAAGACAUAUGCGAAAAAAGUGAUACACAAGAAUGUCGUUUAGACAGGCUAAAUCUAAAUCUAUAAAUAUAUAAAUAUGCAUACGUAUGCAGCAGACAGUACAUUCGAGUUCAUAUUGGUAAAACUUUUAUAAUGAAAUGCGUGAAAUCAAAUACAAGUAUUAAUUAUUAUUAAAUAAAAAAAUAAUAAUUUUGAUAAAAAAUUAAAAAUUCAAAUUAAUGCAUCUUGAAAAAUACUUAAGAAUCAUGCAACAACUACUUUAAGUUCAAAAAUUCCUGAAAUUUGCUUUGGAAGAUGCAGUUGAACUAUUUUUUGUUUCUUCUGAUUAGUUAGGCAAACCAUUUAUAGUGCAAACUUAAUGACCAAAUACGUACAUAAACAUUUAUAAUAUAUGUACAUAUUACAUCCCUACAUAUGUAUAUACAAAAGUACAUGUGCUUUGAUAAUACCUAGCAAUUCAACUACAUUUAGACAAGUUCAAAUCACAUUGCAGCAAUAUACAUGUACAUAGUACCUAUUAUAUUAUACUAGCUAUUACUGUGCGUAUGUUUGUAUGUCCCCGGCAUCGUCAUUCACGCUAUAAUUUUCGUGUAUAUAAAAUAAAAUGGAUAAUAGCCGUUGGCUAAUUUGUCAUAUCUCUUUUUUCGACUUUUAUACGCUAUUCUAAGUGGUUUCUUUGCGGAAUUGCCUCAAAUUUUGACCAGACAUACAUACAUAUCUAAUUUGUUCAUGGUCUUUCCUCAGCAUAACCGCUUUAUGAUCUUAUUUUGUUGCUUAUUUAUUUAUCUUGUGCUGCUUUCAGCUACUUACAUUUCUACCUAUUAUAUUUCGCUAUAAUGGGCGCGUGCACACCAAUUACAAAAUUUCAUAAUAUACACAAAUGUGUAUAAAACUACACGAAAUCGCUGCAAUGUGCACACUUCUUACAGCUUAUUUAUAUACAAGCGCAGAUAUUUGCUUCACAUUUUUCUACACAUUAACCAAAAAAAUCUAAUAACUUAUAGAUGAAUUCCAAAAGAAAUUCGGAAGCUGUAAAAUGCACACUUUUUGUGAGCAAUCACCACCAAAAUGUGUGAAAAAAAUAGAAUUUAUAAUUCCUUGCCAUUCAUAUGCAUAUGUAUGACUAUUAGAUCCAAGGACGCCCCCAUGCAAGGAGAUCAAUGAAGGCCGUGGCCACGUACCGACCGUCAUCGACGCUUUCGGCAGCCGAGCACAGGGUGCCUACACCCUCCUACUACCCACUAUUGCUUCAAAUACUUAAAUACAUAUGUAUAAUGAAAUGUUUAUGUACUUUAUGAAUAAUACUUACGAUUUUCAAUCAGAUGUUCAGUGCAUACGUUGCUUUUAUAGUUAAUACCACAGAAAUAUGUUUUUUUCACACAACGCACACCUAGCACACGUUUGUUGAAUUUUCCUGAAUUUAUUGGCUUUAGUAUAUACGGAUGUUAAAAGCUUUCCUCCACAGAGGAAAUAUGCUAAGUUCCUCCAGUUAAUUUGAAUAGCUUCCUGAAUUUUACCUUACAGCUAUAAAUGCCAAUUACUUCAUUUUUUCCACCGUUUGGUGUAGGUCUUGUCUAGGUAUGUCGUUGGAGUUUCUAUUGUUUCUGUUGUUGUUGUUGUUGUUGUUGUUGCUCAACAGCUAUGUUGUUAGUGGUUGAUGUUGCUAUUGUUGUUCGACUGGUCACUGCUGCUGCUGAUGUAGAAAAAUUUCUUUUGC